AUGACAGCAGCUGAGGCAAGGCGGAGCUCCACGCAGACCCACUCUGUUUCCAUCCAGCCAAUCAGCGCCAGCAUCCAUUGGUCACGUGGUCAUCGUGCACAUGCGCACACGAGAGAACGCCUCAUUCAGGUCCUGCCGUGGUGGAGGAGCCGGGCCGUAGUUUCUUGCUGUGUGUUGAAACUCUUCUCCAGUUGUACUCUCGCGGGUAAUUUCCCUGCGAAUAGCCCCACCAGAUUCUCUUCCCUUGGACCCUGGAUUUUAGAACAUAAAAGCUGGGGUCUGCAGAGAACAGACGAUGGCACUGAUUGA
rnacentral:lncRNA from 1 species